UACGGAGGGUGCGAGCGUUGUCCGGAAUCAUUGGGCGUAAAGGGCGCGUAGGUGGCCCGGUCAGUCUUUGGUGAAAGCGCGGGGCUCAACCCUGCGUCGGCCAGGGAUACUGCCGCGGCUCGAGCACUGUAGAGGCAGGCGGAAUUCCCGGUGUAGCAGUGAAAUGCGUAGAGAUCGGGAGGAACACCAGUGGCGAAGGCGGCCUUCUGGACCAAUACUGACGCUCAUGCACGAAAGCGUGGGGAGCAAACAGG
rnacentral:rRNA from 1 species